rnacentral:miRNA from 1 species
GGAGCUCGGCUCCGAGCCUAAAGAGCUCGGCUCCAAGCCUAAGCUCCUUAGGCUUGGGGUCGAGCUCUUUAGGCUCGGAGACAGCUCCU